rnacentral:rRNA from 1 species
CACACCGCCCGUCACACCAUGGAAGUCUGCUGCACCAGAAGUAGGUAGUCUAACCGCAAGGGGGCGCCUACCACGGUGUGGCCGAUGACUGGGGUG